rnacentral:rRNA from 1 species
AUUGAACGCUGGCGGCAGGCCUAACACAUGCAAGUCGAGCGAGCGGCGGACGGGUGAGUAAUGUCUGGGAAACUGCCUGAUGGAGGGGGAUAACUACUGGAAACGGUAGCUAAUACCGCAUACCAUCAGAUGUGCCCAGAUGGGAUUAGCUGGUUGGUGGGGUAACGGCUCACCUAGGCGACGAUCCCUAGCUGGUCUGAGAGGAUGACCAGCCACACUGGAACUGAGACACGGUCCAAACUCCUACGGAGGGCAGCAGUGGGGAAUAUUGCACAAGGGGCGCAGGCCUGAUGCAGCCAGGCCGCGUGUGUGAAGAAGGCCUUCGGGUGGUAAAGUACUUUCAGCGGGGAGGCGUUACCCGCAGAAGAAGCACCGGCUAACUCCGUGCCAGCAGCCGCGGUAAUUC